CUACAAACUCGUGCUAUCGCGGCAUUUAUGCCGAGGAAAGUCUGGACAGCAAAGAGCAGUUUACCGGUGAAUAACCGGGUUUCAGAUUUUUAUUUGGAAACAGAAAGUGCCACAGAAAAUAACCGCCGGCAAAAUGCAGGUAAGGGUGAAAAUGUGCGGUAAGAGCGCACAGCAAAAUGCAGUAAUGUACUUUGCGGGUAAACCUUAAACGCUGCAAUGCCACGUAUAGUUGUGUUUGAGGGCGGCUCGUCCGAUGCUUCGGCAACACAACAGGGUAGGCAGCAACACCAAAACAGUAAUGUUUUGGGCAGAUAAAUGAUAGCAUAGAAACAGAAUCCGGCUUACGAGGUUUGUAGCUUU
rnacentral:RNase_P_RNA from 1 species